rnacentral:tRNA from 1 species
GCUGUGGUGGUUCAGUGAUAGAAUUCUCGCCUUCCAUGCCGGAGACUUGGGUUUGAUUCCCAACCGAUGCA